rnacentral:rRNA from 1 species
UACGUAGGUCCCGAGCGUUGUCCGGAUUUAUUGGGGGUAAAGCGAGCGCAGGUGGUUUAAUAAGUCUGAUGUAAAAGGCAGUGGCUCAACCAUUGUGUGCAUUGGAAACUGUUAGACUUGAGUGCAGUAGAGGAGAGUGGCAUUCCAUGUGUAGCGGUGAAAUGCGUAGAUAUAUGGAGGAACACCGGUGGCGAAAGCGGCUCUCUGGACUGUCACUGACACUGAGGCUCGAAAGCGUGUGUAGCAAACAGG